rnacentral:rRNA from 1 species
AGAGUUUGAUCCUGGCUCAGAAUGAACGUUGGCGGCGUGGAUUAGGCAUGCAAGUCGAACGGGCCGCAAGGCCAGUGGCGCAAGGGUGAGUAAGGCGACGGUAACCAACCCCGCGGAUGGGCAUAGCCGAGGGAAACUUCGGGUAAUUCCCAGCGACGCGACGACCCGGCAUCGGGUCGUCGCCAAAGAUUCAUCGCCGCGGGACGGGCCGUUGUGGUAUUAGGUUGUUGGCGGGGUGACGGCCCACCAAGCCUGCGAUGCCUACCGGGCGUGCGAGCGUGGCCCGGCACACUGGGACUGAGACACUGCCCAGACUCCUACGGGAGGCUGCAGUCGAGAAUCUUCGGCAAUGGGCGCAAGCCUGACCGAGCGACGCCGCGUGGAGGAUGAAGGCCUUCGGGUUGUAAACUCCUGUCGAGGGGGAGGAAGGGGCAACCUUGACCGAUCCCUGGAGGAAGCACGGGCUAAGUUCGUGCCAGCAGCCGCGGUAAGACGAACCGUGCGAACGUUAUUCGGAAUCACUGGGCUUAAAGCGCGUGUAGGCGGGCCGCCACGUCGGCUGCUGAAAUCCCCCGGCUCAACCGGGGAACGGGCACCGAUACGAGCGGCCUUGAGGGGGGUAGGGGGGUCUGGAACUUCCGGUGGAGCGGUGAAAUGCGUUGAGAUCGGAAGGAACGCCCGUGGCGAAAGCGAGGCCCUGGACCCUUUCUGACGCUGAGACGCGAAAGCCAGGGGAGCGAACGGGAUUAGAUACCCUAGUAGUCC